AUUGAGGUCUACCUCGAUGGGGCUUCUCCAGUAGCCACACAGUGGAAAUGCCUCACAUGGUGACUUGUGGUUUUGCUUGACUCAGAACUGUUUAGUGGGUCUGUCAGCUGGAACUGCAAGACAGCU